rnacentral:rRNA from 1 species
GUGAGGAAUAUUGGACAAUGGACGCAAGCCUGAUCCAGCCAUGCCGCGUGCAGGAAGACGCAUCUAUGGUGUGUAAACUGCUUUUGUACGGGAAGAAACACUCCCUCGUGAGGGAGCUUGACGGUACCGUAAGAAUAAGGAUCGGCUAACUCCGUGCCAGCAGCCGCGGUAAUACGGAGGAUCCAAGCGUUAUCCGGAAUCAUUGGGUUUAAAGGGUCCGUAGGCGGUUUAAUAAGUCAGUGGUGAAAGCCCAUCGCUCAACGAUGGAACGGCCAUUGAUACUGUUAGACUUGAAUUACAAGGAAGUAACUAGAAUAUGUAGUGUAGCGGUGAAAUGCUUAGAUAUUACAUGGAAUACCAAUUGCGAAGGCAGGUUACUACUUGUGGAUUGACGCUGAUGGACGAAAGCGUGGGGAGCGAACAGGAUUAGAUACCCUGGUAGUCC